rnacentral:rRNA from 1 species
ACGGGUGAGUAACGCGUGGGAACAUACCCUUUUCUACGGAAUAGCUCUGGGAAACUGGAAUUAAUACCGUAUACGCCCUACGGGGGAAAGAUUUAUCGGGGAAGGGUUGGCCCGCGUUGGAUUAGCUAGUUGGUGGGGUAAAGGCCUACCAAGGCGACGAUCCAUAGCUGGUCUGAGAGGAUGAUCAGCCACAUUGGGACUGAGACACGGCCCAAACUCCUACGGGAGGCAGCAGUGGGGAAUAUUGGACAAUGGGCGCAAGCCUGAUCCAGCCAUGCCGCGUGAGUGAUGAAAGCCUUAGGGUUGUAAAGCUCUUUCACCGAUGAAGAUAAUGACGGUAGUCGGAGAAGAAGCCCCGGCUAACUUCGUGCCAGCAGCCGCGGUAAUACGAAGGGGGCUAGCGUUGUUCGGAAUUACUGGGCGUAAAGCGCACGUAGGCGGAUAUUUAAGUCAGGGGUGAAAUCCCAGAGCUCAACUCUGGAACUGCCUUUGAUACUGGGUAUCUUGAGUAUGGAAGAGGUAAGUGGAAUUGCGAGU